UGGUCAAUUCAACAUAGUUAACAUGUGUAAAAUGUAUAAUGUUUGUGGAUCGCACUGGUAGCACCGGUUGUGUAUCAAUUACUAGUAGAAUAAUAUUGUUUAUUUGAGGAGAUUUGAUCUAUUUUCUAUAGUUACAUUGUAACGCAGAAAAGGAAGCCAAAGAAAUUCAUUUUAAUAAGAUGUGCACAAUGGAUGUACAGCAGUGUCCAUAUUCAAAAUAUACAAUAGUGAAUAACUAAUGAAUAAAUGAAGCAUAUCAAGAACGUCUCUCAGCGCUCAUCCACACGGCGGGUUAAUGAUUUGGCAGUUAUUGAUAAACUAUGGCAACUUCCAGAUUGAGACGAAAGCAACUGUUAGUCACUGACAGAAUUUCAGGCAGAAUUUAUUACUUCUUUUGACUAUGACGACGAGUGAAUUUUAAUGUUACCUAAAAUCACCACAAAAAUAUUCAGUGUCUAGCUAUAAUUGGAAUAAAAUAACAUUUUUUUAAUUGAAAGAAAACAGGCAGAGCGAAUAUCCUUUUAAUUUGUUGCAUGCAACGGGACACAAUUUAGAAAGUUGUUACGACCUACUAUAAUUUGAAUAUUAAAGAGUAUGUAUAAUACA